UACGAAGGGGGCUAGCGUUGCUCGGAAUCACUGGGCGUAAAGGGUGCGUAGGCGGGUUUUUAAGUCAGGGGUGAAAUCCUGGAGCUCAACUCCAGAACUGCCUUUGAUACUGCAGAUCUUGAGUCCGGGAGAGGUGAGUGGAACUGCGAGUGUAGAGGUGAAAUUCGUAGAUAUUCGCAAGAACACCAGUGGCGAAGGCGGCUCACUGGCCCGGUACUGACGCUGAGGCACGAAAGCGUGGGGAGCAAACAGG
rnacentral:rRNA from 1 species